CAUCAGUUUUUUUCGACUGUAUUUUGUUUUUAAGGAUAGUUGAAGGUCAGUUCCUAAAAUCUCAUCACUACUCAGUGUCCAUCUUGCUCCCAACGCUAGAACUCAAGGAUAAAGUGAACUUCCAUCAGUUUUUUUCGACUGUAUUUUGUUUUUAAGGAUAGUUGAAGGUCUACAGAGGUCAGCUCCUAAAAUCUCAUCGCUACUCAGUGUCCAUCUUGCUCCCAACGCUAGAACUCAAGGAUUAAGUGAGCUUCCAUCAGUUUUUUUCGACUGUAUUUUGUUUUUAAGGAUAUUUGAAGCUCUCCAGAGGUCAGUUCCUAAAAUCUCAUCACUACUCAGUGUCCAUCUUGCUCCCAACGCUAGAACUCAAGGAUUAAAAGAGCUUCCAUCAGUUUUUUUUCGACUGUAUUUUGUUUUUAAGGAUAUUUGAAGCUCUCCAGAGGUCAGUUCCUAAAAUCUCAUCACUACUCAGUGUCCAUCUUGCUCCCAACGCUAGAACUCAAGGAUAAAGUGAACUUCCAUCAGUUUUUUUCGUCUGUAUUUUGUUUUAAGGAUAGUUGAAGCUCUCCAGAGGUCAGUUCCUAAAAUCUCAUCACUACUCAGUGUCCAUCUUGCUCCCAACGCUAGAACUCAAGGAUAAAGUGAACUUCCAUCAGUUUUUUUCGUCUGUAUUUUGUUUUAAGGAUAGUUGAAGCUCUCCAGAGGUCAGUUCCUAAAAUCUCAUCACUACUCAGUGUCCAUCUUGCUCCCAACGCUAGAACUCAAGGUUAAAGUGAGCUUUCAUCAGUUUAUUUCGACUGUAUUUUGUUUUUAAGGAUAGUUGAAGGUUUACAGAGGUCAGUUCCUAAAAUCUCAUCACUACUCAGUGUCCAUCUUGCUCCCAACGCUAGAACUCAAGGAUAAAGUGAACUUCCAUCAGUUUUUUUCGACUGUAUUUUGUUUUUAAGGAUAGUUGAAGGUCUCCAGAGGUCAGUUCCUAAAAUCUCAUCACUACUCAGUGUCCAUCUUGCUUCCAACGCUA